rnacentral:pre_miRNA from 1 species
GGCCUCGCUUCUCUUCCACUCUACCAACAGCCACGCUGCCACGUCUAGCCCGCGACCAUGGCGUGGCCGUUGGUAGAGUAGGAGACGAGCAUGGC